UUGCUUUUUAUCAUCUAAAUUGACAUAAAGUUAUCAUCUAAAUUAACAAUGACAUAAUUAACGCAGCGAAACGCAGCGAGAAAACAAAUAACACAAACGAAAAGUACCAAAACCUAUAGCCAAAAUGAAGUCAUUUUCUGUAGCAAAAUACCAAGAAUAUUUUAAACCACAUUGAAUUGAUGAGAAUUCGGCCGCCUAAACUGGUGGGACUUUACAACACACUAGCAAAUUACCAACUUCCUAUUUGGUACACAAUAGCAAAUUACAUAUAGCUUGACAUCUUGAUAAAAUAGCAUUCAGUAGCAAGCUUCAUUUUCUUUGAAUUGGCAUCUUCACUUCUUGUAUAACUUACCAACUGCCUGCAAAAUAAUCAAGUCAAAGAAAUGGUCCUCCUACGUUGAUUAUUUCUUGAAAACUAGAAAAGGGACAUUGAUUCACGUACAAUACCAAAAGUUUAAAUAUUGGAUACAUAAUUGAGAAACUAUUGAUAGUAGUAUGGCAUAACAAGAAAAAUAUUGUAAUGGUGUCGGCAUUUGCACACGUAUCUUCCCUGGGAGAAUCAUAAGUUCGUCCAUCUUGAGGGGGUAACUGUUGAUAGAAGUAUGGCAUAACAAGACACACAAUCACGUUGUUGUAGAGAAUGAAAUAUAAAGAAAAAUGCAAUACCCGUGCAUAAACACAUAAAGAGCUCAAUUUAUCUCCCCCCUUUUUCCCCUUAAAUACAUACAAAUCUACACUUUUUCAAUUUUUAUGAAGACUAAUGAAGCAUGAUAGAGAGCUAAAUAAAGUCAAUUUAGCAGAAAAUCAGAGAGAGAAAGGUUUAGACAAUAGAUACGAAUUUCCAAUAAGCACAGUGAUUGAAAUAAAAUCACAACAAAAUGCAUCAUAUUCGCUCCAAGAGCCUUCUUAAUCAAGAUGCAUCAUACAUUUCCCAACGCAUUAGAUGUUAAUUUAAUUCGUAUUUUCUUUUACUGAUAAUGAGGUAGAAUAUAUGAGUUCAAACAGUAAGAAGUCAAUACCCGCCGCCGGCUUGACGAGGGGAGGAAGCUGGAAAUGACGAGCAAAGAUUUGAAAGUGAAUGUGUAAAGGUACAAUCUUCAUUUCCAUAGCCAAGUCGACUCCAUUUCUUCAAACCACCGAGAAAAUCGAAAUGGGUAUCAAUCCUCCAAACAACCUCUUGUACGGCGGCUUCUUCGCCGGAGACGGUGCAAUGCGCCGGUGAAUCGAGAUGGGAAUGAGUGGCGGCUGGAUUCUGCUUUGGGGUGAAGGGGCAGCUG
rnacentral:lncRNA from 1 species